rnacentral:rRNA from 1 species
UACGUAGGGGGCAAGCGUUGUCCGGAAUCACUGGGCGUAAAGCGCGCGCAGGCGGCUAUCUACGUCCGGGGUGAAAGCCCAGAGCUCAACUCUGGGAUUGCUUUGGAUACGGGAUGGCUUGAGGAUCGGAGAGGCAAGGGGAAUUCCACGUGUAGCGGUGAAAUGCGUAGAGAUGUGGAGGAACACCUGUGGCGAAGGCGCCUUGCUGGCCGAUUUCUGACGCUGAGGCGCGAAAGCGUGGGGAGCAAACAGG